rnacentral:rRNA from 1 species
UAACACAUGGGUACCUACCUUGGAGUGAGGGAUACCGGCGAGAAAUCGCCGACAAUACCGCAUAGGCUUCUUCACAAGGGAAGCAAAGUGGCGCAAGCCACGCUUUGAGAUGGGCCUGUGGCCGAUUAGCUAGUUGGUGAGGUAACGGCUUACCAAGGCGACGAUCGGUAGCUGGUCUGAGAGGACGAUCAGCCACACUGGGAUUGAGAACGGCCCAG